GAUGAACGCUGGCGGCGUGCCUAAUACAUGCAAGUCGAGCGAACGGACGAGAAGCUUGCUUCUCUGAUGUUAGCGGCGGACGGGUGAGUAACACGUGGAUAACCUACCUAUAAGACUGGGAUAACUUCGGGAAACCGGAGCUAAUACCGGAUAAUAUUUUGAACCGCAUGGUUCAAAAGUGAAAGACGGUCUUGCUGUCACUUAUAGAUGGAUCCGCGCUGCAUUAGCUAGUUGGUAAGGUAACGGCUUACCAAGGCAACGAUGCAUAGCCGACCUGAGAGGGUGAUCGGCCACACUGGAACUGAGACACGGUCCAGACUCCUACGGGAGGCAGCAGUAGGGAAUCUUCCGCAAUGGGCGAAAGCCUGACGGAGCAACGCCGCGUGAGUGAUGAAGGUCUUCGGAUCGUAAAACUCUGUUAUUAGGGAAGAACAUAUGUGUAAGUAACUGUGCACAUCUUGACGGUACCUAAUCAGAAAGUCACGGCUAACUACGU
rnacentral:rRNA from 1 species